CUGUCCCGUCGAAGCUGGCCAGCAGGUUCGGCGCCAUUGGCUACUGGAGAGUCAUCUCCCUUCCAGGAUCUCACCCCCUGCAGAAUGAGGAGGGGCAUGAGAGGUGACUGGGGUCAGCAGAGAGCAGAUGGGAGGCACCCAGGUUAGCGCAGCCGCAGCCGAGAAGCGAUUAGUACCCCCUAAAGCCGCCACCAGUGCCUUCACCAGCACCAAAUCACGGUGCCCUGUACAGUCUCAGGUCUCACCUUUUCAGCCUCUUCGCGGCUCAUGGCCAAGGCCAGCUGCAGCUGCAGCUCUUCUUCUCCAGAAGUCUGGGGCCGUGCCUGCUCCAGGUCUGAGGCAUAGCGUGGGGACGAAGAUGCAGCUGCAACAAGUGUGGGGUCUGUGAGAACAGCAGUACCCGUGGUCCCCACAUUCCUCUGCCUGCCAGGAAGCUGGGGCUCACAGAGUGAGCCAGAGAUUGGCCUUUCAGGCUCUUGUGAGCCAGGCAGUACAUUGGACACCCCUUUGUGGAUUUUCCACUGCACUGCUAGAUGCCAGGGCCACCUCGACGAGGAGUAAACAUCAUGGAAGGGGGCCUGGCAGUAGUCCUAAGUCAAGACUUACUGCAGGUCCCUGACUUCAGCUCUUGAACUCUUCCAAUAGGACACUACUAGCCUGUUUGGGGCCACAGGGAUUAGGAGGGAGGGAUCUACCAAUCAAAUGAAAUCACAGCCUCGGAGCCCCAAGCAGGCCAUCACGGGCUUUAUGGAAGGAGGGCUGUUUUGUUCCUCUGGUCACAAAGGCCUCCACCACUUUGGGGAGCCAUGAGGACGGAUAUUUCAACAUCGGCCACCCUUGUUUUCAAGGACAAUACUCUUGAGUGGCAGAGGUUUACAGAAUGUCAGGUGUCUGAGUGAAAAAGGGCACUGAGUGUCAAGGGCACUCGGGCUGUCUCUCAUUCAUUUCUCAGAUCAAACAAUAUAGGGAGGGAGGUGUACCUCUGUUUUACAGAGCUGGUUGCCCAAGCCACUCGGCUUGGAAGGAACAGAAUGAAUGGUAUGCACCUCCAGAGCCUGCAUUUUGACCUCCAAGCCACCCUCUCAGGCACUAACUAAUAAUAAGGACAAG